rnacentral:rRNA from 1 species
GGGCCCGCACAAGCGGUGGAGUAUGUGGUUUAAUUCGAUGCAACGCGAAGAACCUUACCAGGGCUUGACAUCCUGCGAACCUCUGUGAAAGCGGAGGGUGCCUUCGGGAACGCAGAGACAGGUGGUGCAUGGCUGUCGUCAGCUCGUGUCGUGAGAUGUUGGGUUAAGUCCCGCAACGAGCGCAACCCACGUCUUUAGUUGCCAGCAUUUAGUUGGGCACUCUAGAGAGACCGCCGGUGAUAAACCGGAGGAAGGUGUGGAUGACGUCAAGUCAUCAUGCCCCUUACGUCCUGGGCUACACACGUACUACAAUGGCGCGUACAAAGGGCAGCGAACCUGCGAGGGUAAGCGAAUCUCAAAAAGCCUAUCGUAGUCCAGAUUGGAGUCUGCAACUCGACUCCAUGAAGUAGGAAUCGCUAGUAAUCG